UUCGCCAAGCGGAAUCUGAAUUGAGGUCUCAUACAACUGACGAUAUAGAUGAUUUUGAUGCAGCCUCUUUUGUCAGUGAAACAAGGGCCUUGUUUAGAAGUAGAUCUGUGGACUCAUCACAAAGGACAGGAAAGAGAGGCAGAAAAAAAGGACGGCAAAGGGGACAUUUAUGGAAGACUCAUUUUUUCUUACUGCAAAAGAACAAUGAAGAAUUUGUACCACCACCGUCUGAACUAUCAAGACUGACAAGAAAUGGAUUAGGAGUUCCUAAAUGUGAACAACCUGCUACCAAUGAAAGAUAUGGUUCAAAAUCUACUGUUCAGCGAAGCUGGAGUUUAAGACAGUUAGAGAAUUUUGUGCAAGAUAGUUUUCCUGACGUU